GCAGCUCAGGAGUCGAGCACUUGCCUUCAAUGCAGAAGGUCCUGGGUUCAAUUGCCAACAGCUCCA